GACGAACGCUGGCGGCGUGCUUAACACAUGCAAGUCGAACGGAAAGGCCUCUUUCGGGGGGUACUCGAGUGGCGAACGGGUGAGUAACACGUGAGUAACCUGCCCUUGACUUUGGGAUAACUUCAGGGAACUGGGGCUAAUACCGGAUAGGAGCUCCUGCUGCAUGGUGGGGGGUGGAAAGUUUCGGCGGUUGGGGAUGGACUCGCGGCUUAUCAGCUUGUUGGUGGGGUAGUGGCUUACCAAGGCUUUGACGGGUAGCCGGCCUGAGAGGGUGACCGGCCACAUUGGGACUGAGAUACGGCCCAGACUCCUACGGGAGGCAGCAGUGGGGAAUAUUGCACAAUGGGUGGAAGCCUGAUGCAGCAACGCCGUGUGCGGGAUGACGGCCUUCGGGUUGUAAACCGCUUUCGCUCAUGACGAAGCUUUGUGUGACGGUAGUGGGUAAAGAAGCACCGGCUAACUACGUG
rnacentral:rRNA from 1 species